rnacentral:rRNA from 1 species
AACGGCAAAGAGUGCUUGCACACUUUGGACGUCGACCGGCGCACGGGUGAGUAACGCGUAUCCAACCUGCCCUUUACUUGGGGAUAACCCGUUGAAAGACGGACUAAUACCCAAUGAUAUUCAUUGAUGACAUCUGACAUGAAUUAAAGAUUUAUCGGUGUAGGAUGGGGAUGCGUCUGAUUAGCUUGUUGGUGAGGUAACGGCUCACCAAGGCCACGAUCAGUAGGGGUUCUGAGAGGAAGGUCCCCCACAUUGGAACUGAGACACGGUCCAAACUCCUACGGGAGGCAGCAGUGAGGAAUAUUGGUCAAUGGACGAGAGUCUGAACCAGCCAAGUAGCGUGCAGGAUGACGGCCCUAUGGGUUGUAAACUGCUUUUGUUUGGGAAUAAUCGACAUUACGUGUAAUGUUUUGCAUGUACCAUUCGAAUAAGGACCGGCUAAUUCCGUGCCAGCAGCCGCGGUAAUACGGAAGGUCCAGGCGUUAUCCGGAUUUAUUGGGUUUAAAGGGAGUGUAGGCGGUUGGUUAAGCGUGUUGUGAAAUGUAGAUGCUCAACAUCUGACUUGCAGCGCGAACUGGCUGACUUGAGUAC